rnacentral:misc_RNA from 1 species
AACUGAUACUACCUGCGGGAACCUGCGGAGGGAUCAUUAUUGAAUGGUCUGUAUUAUGACCUUCAACCCUUCAAACCUGUGGAAGCAAAAUGUGCUUUGGCGCUCCGGCGCCGCAUUUAUGCCGAAUAGUUUUGUGUCUGAAUCAUAUACAAACAUUAAAACUUUUAACAACGGAUCUCU